rnacentral:rRNA from 1 species
ACGGUGCGUAUCUUGAAUGUCAAAACGACUCUCGGCAACGGAUAUCUCGGCUCUCGCAUCGAUGAAGAACGUAGCGAAAUGCGAUACUUGGUGUGAAUUGCAGAAUCCCGUGAACCAUCGAGUCUUUGAACGCAAGUUGCGCCCGAAGCCUUCGGGCCGAGGGCACGCCUGCCUGGGCG